UAGUACCUCUUUCAAUAGGUUGUUGUGAGA
rnacentral:piRNA from 1 species